GCAAACUUGGUCAUUUAGAGGAAGUAAAAGUCGUAACAAGGUUUCCGUAGGUGAACCUGCGGAAGGAUCAUUACAAAUCCACACCGACACCUGUGUUGUUGUGUCUGUCCCCUCACGAAUGGGCCUUUCCUCUCUCUCCUCUGUGAGAGGAAAGACACCCCGAUUCGUGAGGCCAGACAGACACACACACACGUUACCACGUUGAAUUGUGUCAUUGCUGUGCAUGCAUGCUCUACUGCAUGUAUGCGCACGCAUUUGUCUCUCUCACUUGUUGUUGUUCAGUUGCUCAAUUGUAUUACACACACGCACUGUUUAAUGCAGACACAACUUAUAACAAUGGAUCUCUAGGCUCUUGCAUCGAUGAAGAACGCAGC
rnacentral:misc_RNA from 1 species